rnacentral:rRNA from 1 species
GCAGUCGCCGCGGUAAUACGUAGGGUGCAAGCGUUAAUCGGAAUUACUGGGCGUAAAGCGUGCGCAGGCGGUUUUGUAAGACAGAGGUGAAAUCCCCGGGCUCAACCUGGGAACUGCCUUUGUGACUGCAAGGCUAGAGUACGGCAGAGGGGUAUGGAAUUCCGCGUGUAGCAGUGAAAUGCGUAGAUAUGCGGAGGAACACCGAUGGCGAAGGCAAUCUCCUGGGCCUGUACUGACGCUCAUGCACGAAAGCGUGGGGAGCAAACAGGAUUAGAUACCCCAGUAGUCCCUGUCUCUUAUAC